rnacentral:rRNA from 1 species
GACGAACGCUGGCGGCGUGCCUAAUACAUGCAAGUCGAGCGAAGUUUUUCUGGUGCUUGCACCGGAACAACUUAGCGGCGAACGGGUGAGUAAUACGUAAAGAACCUGUCUCUUUGACUGGGACAACUAUUGGAAACGAUAGCUAAUACCGGAUAACAGCAUUAACUGCAUGGUUGAUGUUUAUAAGUUGGUUUUGCUAACACUAUGCGAUGGCUUUGCGGUGAAUUAGCUAGUUGGUGGGGUAAAGACCUACCAGGGCGACGAUGCGUAGCCGACCUGAGAGGAUGAUCGCCCACACUGGGACUGAGACACGGCCCAGACUCCUGCGGGAGGCAGCAGUAGGGAAUCUUCCGCAAUGGGCGAAAGCCUGACGGAGCAACGCCGCGUGAGUGAAGAAGGAUUUCGGUUCGUAAAGCUCUGUUGUUAGGGAAGAAUAAUUGUAUAGUAACUAGACGCGGUAGAGACGGUACCUAACCAGAAAGCCACGGCUAACUACGUG